CACACCGGAUGUUGUUCAAACAUGGUAUCGACUUGCGGAAUGUGUGAGAAAUAUUAAUAUUUUCAUAAUUACAUUCUAGAACGAGUCAUUUUAUCAAUAUUAAAAAACGUAUUUUGGGGGGUUUCCCGGACAUCAAACCAACCAGAUGUGGUUUUACCAGACAGACCUAAGCUCAAAUUCCUCAAUAAGUUUCCGAACUUCAAAAAAGCGAAGAAGGAGAUGAAGAGAUUACGUGACAUUCAGGGACCGGCCUAAGCGGCAAAUAUAUUCAUCAAGGGACAGUACGGGAUUGUGGUCGUUAGCCGAGAGUCUGGCAGCGUUGCAGCAGGAACAAGUGGAGAGAGAAUCCAACAAUCAAAAUCCCGGGACCUUUCAGAGAAUUGCCCAGUCCAACGUGCUCGGCAUUCGCUAACAUCACCGAACUUCAUCUAGUAAUGGCAGAGCAAAGCAUCUAAUGAGACGGAUGUGGCAUUACGAAUAUUCAGAAUGUGUUUAAUGGAGGUGAGAUUGAAUUCGCUCGCUUUUGUGGUCAUGACAUGUUCUGUGAAGGAGUUUGCAGGCUUGAUAAAAGAGGUGUUAAACAGGAAAUGUCAUGUUACCACAAGAGAAGUAUUAAGGCUCUAAUGUUUGAACAGCAGGGCAGAAAUUAAAGAAGUGGGACAUGUGAUUUGUAUCUGUUGCAUUCUUUUAUCAAACGUUGAAUUUCACACUGCGUAAUUAUGCUUUUGAGUUCUUUGGAGAUAUUUUCUGUAAUAUAUUAUUUAUAUUGUAAAGCCGGUUCUCGCCUCCUCCUUUACAAUAAUUCCUUUACACUGGUGCUGAAACCCGGGAAGGAGGAGGGAUGCGCCAAUGCGCCGCUACCAUCCACCCCAACGGAGCAGCCGCGGCCAUUUGCCGGGGGGACGGAGGAGCCCGGCCGCCUGAGCAGGACGACCGCUGCUGACUGCGAGAUGAGGAGGGGCUCCUAACCAACCGCCUGGAGCGGUCACGGCCGCUGCUAGGGGCGGAGGAGACCCCUACCAGCCGCUGAAACGCGGCGGGGUCUGAGACUGGUGAGCGGGGAGGGGCUCCUGGCCGACCGCCUGGAGUGGAAGGACCGCUGCCAGGGGCGGGGAAGACCCCUUCCAUCCACUAGAACGCGGCUGGGCCUUCCGUCCGCCAGGGGCCGGAGGACUGCCUCCGAUUCUCCCGGGGAGGCUCGGCUGUCAGCCAUUAGAGGGUGGAGGAGUGGCCGAGCACCAAGCUACAGCGUAUUGGAGAACCGGCGAGUACGUUAUUUUCUCUCUCUCUCUCUCUCACUGCUGCGGAUGACCUGCCGGCAGAUGGGGCAGAAGGCAUGCCCCUUCCAAGGGAAAGGGGCGGGGUGUAAGUGAAGCCAGGGGAUCCCAGGCCUGAGAGAACGAGGGAGGAAUGUAGCAGGGCGGAGGGCAGGGCUGGGUCAUGAUUGCGCACACCCGGCCCCUAAUCAGGCUAAUCAAGCCUCAGAGAGUGAUAAAGGUUGACUGGAGAUGGCAGUGUGACAGAGAGAGAGAGAUUUACGGACAGCUGUCUGACACCUGUGUGUGUGUGUUUGUCUUUUUGGUUCAGUUUUAUAUUAAACUAUUAUUUAUAUUGUCAAGUCGGUUCUCGCCGCCUCCUUUCCAUUAAUCCCUUUAUACUAAGAUUGAAAAGCAAUGUGAUUAGAUCACGUGACAACAAUUUAGCAUGCUGCAGCUUGAAAUCUCAAUUUUGACUUUCUAUCUCAUAAAUAUGACUUUAAUCUCAUAAUUUAGAUUUUUAACCCUUUAAACUCGGAUGGGCUUUGAAUUGUCAAAAUAUUAAUAACUUCAGUCUCAACCAGCACAAAAUAUGUAUCGUUUGAAAGUUUAGAAGCUCUAUUUUCCAAUGCAUGUGACAUUAUGACCAAAACUGAACAAGUGCUUUAAAAUCUGCAGAUAAAUCAGAAAUGUUCUGUUUUGAUCAAUUAUUAAAAAUACAUUUGCACUGAACAUAUUAUUGUAAUCAGUAAAAACAUCAAACUCAUCAAAUAUUCAUGUGUCAUAUAUUGUUGGAAAGCUCUUAAAAGAGUAAAAUAUAACCAGACUAUUUGUUUUACUCACAGAUAAAAAUAUAGCGACAAUUUUGUUAGUGCUGCUCAUAUGACGCAUUUUUACUUAUAAAUUCAUGAAUGAUAAACAGAACAUAAAAUAUCACAUAUCAUUAUUUAGAGGAGGUGAUUAUCUUUCAAACGAGUCCACACACAAGAUAAUCAGAUGUAUAUAGAUCAUUAGAUAAUCCACAUGAAGCACAAUGUUACAUAUGACCACCAGGAGAUGGCGCCAAAUACACGACACAGACUCAAUGAUGACUCAAAUGACACAGAAUGAAACUCAUUCUGUGAAAUCUCAUGACUAAAAUCAUGUCUGCAUGCUAUGCAAACCUUUAGUCGUUGUGUUUGCAUGUGUAAUUAGUUCUUAUGUACAAUUAUUAUCUUUUAUUUGUUUGGAGAUGUUUUUGGACACUAUGAUCAAUUAUAUUUGUAAUGUUGUAACUUUUGAUUUCUUUGUCGUAUCAACACAAACACUUUCUCAGAUACAGUUGAUAUGAUCGGGAACAAAACAAAGUUUUUCAGAUCCUCCUCAUUUACACCCAGACAUAUAUAAUGAGAAAAUGGAAUUUCAUAUUAUAAUUUAUAUCAUUAUAGGUAUUCUUUACAAUGAUAUCAAACACUUGACCCUCUAUGUUUUUGUUUGUUUGAUUGUUUAUUGUCGAGUUAUAAAAAAAAUGUGUACCAUCCUUUCUCAAAAUGGCCAUAAAAAAGUGACAGUUCUGUCACUGCACAUGUGCAGAUCAGUUCCCGCUCUAAAUCAUUUGGUGCGAAUCUAUCGAGUAUUAAAAUUUUCAAAGGUAUUUAAAACACAAUCUUGUUAUUACAGUUAUGCAUGCCCCAAAAUAGUGAAAUCAUGGUACUUUAGUGUUACUAAUUUGAUUUAUCUUAGUGAUCUUCUUGCGAUCUUGUCAGAUUUUAGCUUGGAGUUAUCAAAUCUCAGUUUAUGUAUUUGUUUCAUAUAACUUUCCGUUUUGACACAUUGAUCAUCAUUAUGAAAGCAGCCCGAGUCAGGAAGGGCCUCCACAAGGGGCCCCAGAGGAGCCGCAGAGAGGAAGACACAUAAGAUAUCUUAAGAUAUCUCAAGAGAUGCAGCUGCUCUCACUUUUCAUUGAAAAUGUAUAUAAAAUUAAUAAAAAUGAUUAUAUCCAUACAAUUUUUACAACUAUGUGUGUUUCUGAAGUCUAUGCCUAGUGUUGAAGGCUCACAUCCGGAGCAGUCAAAGAAAAACUGUGGUAAGUUGAGAAAUAUUUGGAGGUGUUUGUACUUGACUACACUGGCAGAAUUGUUGCGUAAGUUGAGGCUCUUCUGAAACGAGUGAUGAUUGUCAAAUAUUCUUGUUUAAGAAAGUUUGCCAAAAACCACAGCUUUCUUUUCUUUCCUUUAAAGCUCAAAAUGCAUAUCUAAUUAGUUGACUUCAGGUUUUUUAAGGCAAUCGGUUUCCAUGCUUUUCCCAAAGUAAACAUACUUAUUUGGCUCAAGUAAAGUGAACUUAAUUAUUUUAAGCUCGAAGAAUGACUCAAAGUUCACGAGAGGUAACACUAAUCACCCUAAUGGUGACUUAAGACAAAUCACAACUAUCAACCAGCCACAACAAAACAACAACAAAAGUCUGAAGAAUUAUAACUAUAUUCACUUUUCAAUAACAAUAAUUAUAUUUCUCCAUAAGUUCUCUUGUCUUGACCAUACAUACAUCAGUUAUUCAAGCGCAAGGGCUUAUGGGUAUCCCAGACAGCUGCAAUUUUGUGCUCAAAGCCAAAGUUUAACCUUGUAAGCUCGGAUGGGCCCGAGCUGAUGCACAUUGAUGCAAUUUUCCUUGUUAAUUGGCUGAUGAAGGGAUAUGUUGGCAAUUAAUCGAUAGUCAGUGUAUUCCAUUAUAAGAGUGUAGUCCAUCAAUAGACCGAGAUGAUGCAGCAGAGAUCAGUGAGGUGCAUCACAGUUCAACCUGUAAUUUCGGUGAGGUUCAUCCUAAAUCCAAUGUUCAGGUAGUGGCAUAUGAAGUAUCCCAUGUCUUACAGUUGGAGUUGGCAUCAGUUCAUCCUCUGAAGUCCAUCAUAAAUGACCGGAGUGAUGUUUGGCUGGCACCGGCUGCAUUUAGUCAUCAUCAU